rnacentral:rRNA from 1 species
AACGUAGGUUCCGAGCGUUAUCCGGAUUUACUGGGCGUAAAGCGCGUUCAGGCGGUUUGGCAAGUCGGGCAUGAAAUCCUUCGGCUCAACCGGGGGAGGUUGUCCGAUACUGCUAAACUGGAGGGCAGUAGAGGGUGGUGGAAUUCCGGGUGUAGUGGUGAAAUGCGUAGAGAUCCGGAAGAACACCGGUGGCGAAGGCGGCCUGCUGGGCAGUGGCUGACGCUGAGGCGCGACAGCGUGGGGAGCAAACAGG